UACGUAGGUGGCAAGCGUUAUCCGGAAUUAUUGGGCGUAAAGCGCGCGCAGGUGGUUUCUUAAGUCUGAUGUGAAAGCCCACGGCUCAACCGUGGAGUGUCAUUGGAAACUGGGAGACUUGAGUGCAGAAGAGGAAAGUGGAAUUCCAUGUGUAGCGGUGAAAUGCGUAGAGAUAUGGAGGAACACCAGUGGCGAAGGCGACUUUCUGGUCUGUAACUGACACUGAGGCGCGAAAGCGUGGGGAGCAAACAGG
rnacentral:rRNA from 1 species